AUUGUCUUACGCCAUUAUUUAAUGUAUAUUAAUUUUAUUUUUCCAAUUAGAUACUAAACCCUGGAGGGUGAGGUCAUUAAAUACAAAGCUUGAACUAAAAGUUUUGUAAAGUGUAAUUUGCAUCUUCACAAACCAGUUCAUACACGUGGGUUUAUAUAAGAUUAAAUAUCCACAUUUUACUAAAGUUUUCUUCAACUACUUACAUAGAACCUCCAGCCCCUUUAGGAUGUCCCCACUUUAUUUCUGGGAAUGCCCCAAGGUUGUUUCACCUGUGCCUCAUUAAUCAGGCUAUUAGCUGUGGUCACUAAGGAAGGUGCAAUGUGCUGUUCUUGUCCUGCACUGCUAGCCCGUGUUGUUUAUUCUGCCUGAGCUGGCUGAGGGUAUCAGUGCAAUCACACCAGCAUGCUAUCUUCUGUGUUCUCAAGGUUAGAUUAUUACUUAUAGUCCUUAUGGUGCUAGAGCCACAUUGUGUAACUGUGAAUUCAUGCAGGAGGUGAAUAAAAUCAUGCCAUCUCUUUGCUGCUUUGCCAUCUGGGCCACAGAACAUCCCAGUUUGCCCCACAUCAUCAGAGCUCCAGCAGCUUCUGCUCUCUCCAUGGGCCUGGGCAGGAGUCUCUGGGUUGAGUAACAUAAGACCGCCAUACUGGGGGGAAGUCCAUGUGGUCAUACGGAGGAGAAGCAGUGCCAGUCAGACCCCAAGUGUUCCAGCCACUUCAGCCCACACACCAUGCAUAUGAGUGAAGUAGUUCUCUUGCAUAUGCGGUUUCAGCAGAUGCCACAUGGUGAAGAAUGGAGGCGCCAGAUAUACAGCCCCAGGAAUGAGGGAUCCAGUGGUGUUCAGCAGUUUGCAAGACACUGACAGUGAAGACUUGAAGAAAGAAGUGAGUACACUGUAAUGAAAACUCAAUAGCUAACAAGAGAGAGGAAGCAAAUAAACUGAGCAAAUAUCUGGUUCCCAGCCUUGCUUCUCACUCUGCCCAUUUCUUGGCUCCAACCCAGUUCUCCCUUCUCCUUUAGUGGACAGAUUCAGUCUCUGCUUAUUUUUUUUUUUCCAACUCAAAACAUCCCAAAUAACGCAAGUGACAAAAAGAGAAAGUUGGCUUCCAUUUUCACUAUCAAGUGCCUCCACUUCUAAAUUCCCUCGAGUGACAAAACAUAUCAUAAAAUAUGAAACAUAUCACCUUUCCUUUUGCGGGUGCCAACCACCCUUCAACACAUCAUCAUGAAUCCCGUGCUGAUGUUAAUAGUCCUCUAACUUCCUGAGAACGACUGCAUCAAUCCACGUCUUCUCCAGUUGCCAUGCAGUGAUAUAAGCAGCAAUUCAUCCAAAAGGUGCCUUCGGCAAGCAGGAAGUUAUAGCCCUUGUGAUUUUCUGUGUGGCUCCUUAAAUUGUUAUAAACAGACUUUCUCCAUCUCAGUGAACACUGAGUUUUUAUUUAAACAUUUUGUUUUCUUCCAGAGGUAAUUUUAAGAAAUUUAUUCAAAUUUCUUAGGUUUUAUUAUUUCUUCCUUUUUCUUUCUCUGCCUUUCUUUCUUUCUUGCUCUUCCUUCUUCCUUCAUUUCCCUCCCUCCCUUCUUCCCUCUCUUUCUUUCUUUCUCUUCCUUCCUUCAUUCCUUCCCUUCCUUCCUUCCUUCCUUCCCUUCCUUCCUUCCUUCCCUUCCUUCCUUCCUUCCUUCCUUCCUUCCUUUCUUUCUUUCUUUCUUCCUUUCUUUCUCUUUCUUCUUUUUCAGAGACAAGGUCACCCAGGCUGGAGUGCAGUGGUGUUACCAUCGCUCAGUGCAGCCUCGAACUCCUGGAUUCAAGCAAUCCUCCUGCCUUAGCUUCUCAAGUAGCUAGGACUACAGGUGGGCCCCAUUGUGCCUGGCUAACCAAUUUCUUGGGUUUCUAAGUGGUUUCCACAGGAAUAAACUUGUGAAUCUAAGUACCCUUGGGUGUCUCACAUCCUCCCAGUGUUGGAGAACUGGUGUCAUAUGAUGGUUAAAAUGACAUAUGAUGGUUAAACUGGAGGUGGGCUGCUCCUGUUUGAAUAUGUACUCUAGUGCUUAUGUGUUAUAUGGUCAGGGGUAAGAUAAUUAAGAUUUUGAGCCUUGUUUCCCUUCUAAGAAUGGGGUAACAAUUGUGUAUACUUUGUGAUGUUGAAGGAAUUAAAUUAAUUACUGCAUAAACUUACCAGGUUCUAAGUAAGCCAAUGGUAAAUGUCACCUACUACUGUUAUCAUUUAUAACUCUUUCUAUAAGCCUUCAGCUAGCUUGUUUCUUAACUUUGUGUGAAUUUUAUUUUUUACUUUUUGAGGUUUUUUUUCAUGUAGAAUAUACCUACAGAACGGUGCAUAGGUUAUGAGUAUAGCUUGGUGAAUUUUCACAAACCAAUCACAGUCAUAUAUCCUGGCCCAGAACAAGUAAAAGAGCAUCACCAAUGCCACGAAAGCACCUCACUUAUCUCCUGUUCUAGUCACUACUUCCCAAGGGUAACUGCUAUUCUGACAUCUAACACCAAAGAUUAGUUUUUACCUGUUUUUGAAUUUCAUAUAAAUAUAAUCUUCCAGUAUGUACUCUUUUUUUCGUUUCAUACAAUAUUUACUCUUGUAAGCAAAUCAAAGUGACUUUUUUUUUUUUAACGAAAGAAGGUUAGGUUACUGGAUUUUCAAUUAAAUCAAAUCUUUAGAUUUGUAUAUUAGUGAAAUAAUUCAGUAAAAUAAUCAUAUCCAUAGCUAUCCAAAUCUUUCUGGAUAAUCCAUUCUGUUUUCUAGAUAUUAGCACAAUCUUAGGCUCAUAAACAGAGCUCCACAUCAUUUCAUUCCUUUUUGUCAUGUGAUUUAGGUUUUAUUUUAUUCGUAUUUAACCUUUAAGUUCAGGAGUAUGUGUGCAGGUUGGUUAUAUAGGUAAACUUAUGUAAUGGGAGUUUGUUGUACAGAUUAUUUCAUCACCCAGGUAUUAAGUCUAAUACCCCUAUUACUUAUUUUUCCUGAUCUUCUCCCUCCUCCCACCUUCCUCCCUCCAAUAAGGCCCAGUGUGUGCUGUUCCCCUCCAUGUGUCCAUGUGUUCUCAUCAUUUAGCUCCCACUUAAAAGUGAGAACAUGUGGUAUUUGGUUUUUUGUCCCUGUGUUAGUUUGCUAAGGAUCAUGGCCUCCAGCUCCAUCCAUGUUUCUGCAAAGCACACGAUAUUCUUUUUUAUAGCUGCAUAGUAUUCCACGGUGUAUAUGUACCACAUUUUCUUCAUCCAGUGUUAAAUCAAGUUUAGCCUAAAGCUGCCUCCUUACAUAUUUAAGUUCAGCCUAAAGGUUUUUCUGUACAUCAUGAACUAUAACAAGUGGAGGUGUAAAUCGAUUGUAGCCCAUACCUGUGGCAAUCCUGAGUUUUGGCCAAUCAGAUGUAUCCAACAGUUCGAAUUGUGUUCAAAUAAGGCAAACAGUGAGCUAUAGCCAAUCCAGUUGUUUCUGUACUUCACUUCCAUUUUCUGUACAUUGCUGUCCUUUUGCUGUCUAUAAAUCUUGUUCCUGGCCAGGCACAGUGGCUCACGCCUGUAAUCCCAGCACUUUGGGAGGCCAAGGCAGGUGGAUCACCUAAGGUCAAGAGUUUGAGACCAGCCUGGCUAACAUGGUGAAACCCUGUCUCUACUAAAAAUACAAAAAAUUAGCCAGACGUGGUGGCGCAAACCUGUAAUCCCAGCUACUAGGGAGAAUCGCUUGAACCCGGGAGGCAGAGGUUGCAAUGACCCAAGAUCGCGCCACUGCACUCCAGCCUGGGCAAGAGGGCAACACUCUGUCUGAAAAAAAAAAAAGAAAGAAAGAAAGAAGAAAGAAAGAAAGAACGAACGAACAUGGUAAUUAACAAAAAUUUGUUUUGAGCCCCUACAUGUCCGCUUCCUAGCUAUAUGACAUAGCCAGUCUUUUUACUUCUCUGAGCCUCAUUCCUUGUCUUUUAAAAUGAGGCCAAUAAUAUCCCCAGGGAAUUCAAAGCCCUUGUUUCCAGGAAUGCUGUGUGGGCAUUUGUGAACUCCUACUCCAUCCUGUUUUCAAGUCCAUUUUCUCCCUGUGUGCUAGAACUUACUCAUCUGCUGGAGCUGAGCACCAAUAACAAAUUGUAAUCAUUAGGUCAAGGUAGUAAUUUUUGUGGUUUGAACUUCAGGGCUUAAUGGGUCAUGCUGCUUUCACAACAGGACUUUUCAAUACAAGAUUACAACACAGAGGGGUGGCAUAGGGUUUGUUUUCCUCCUGUUUACUAAAUUAAGAAGUAAAAAAAGAACCUGGUGAUAAUUUUAAACUGUAUACAUAUUUUAGUACACCUAACUCCAUCUCAUUUGUUGGCCAAGUGUGAUUUCCCAACCAUGAAAAAGCAAAAUUCAACUCAUGGGGAAAAGACCAUCAGAAGGACUUAACAAGAUGAACCUCAAGUGGUGGGAUUUGGGAAAAAAUUAAUCUGGUUACAGGAAUUUCCUGUUGGCUCUGCAGUUGACAUUGGUUCCAGCCAUUGCUACGGUUGCAGGAUGAGUUUAGUCAAUGGAAUAAACUGACCCACGUUUAACUUAGAAGUCUCAUUACUUCUUUUCCUUAGUGUCCACAAUAGCAACUAGCUGAUUCACAUAUCUGGUAAACCAGUUUCUCCCAAUAUAUAUACUCAACUCUCCAAAGCAACAACAACAUGUCUUUUUUUUUUUUUUUUUUUUUUUUUUUUGAGAUGAAGUCUUCCUCUGUCACCCAGGCUGUAGUACAAUGGCACAAUCUCAGCUCACCGCAAACCUUCGCCUUCCAGGUUCUAGCAAUUUUCCUGUGUCAGCCUCCCUGAGCAGCUGGGAUUACAGGCACCCACCACCACGCCCGCCUAAUUUUUGUAUUUU
rnacentral:lncRNA from 10 species